GCUUUACCUGCAGGCAGAAUGUAAGCCCUGCCAGGCCUUCUGUUGAGACAUCUUGGGAUUUGGCGGUCUUCGUCUCUGAACCCACCGAUGUUGGGAGAAUGCUCAGAUGACUCUGAAUCUGGGAAUUACCCCAGAGUUGCAUGUUCGUUUCCUGCAUAUUUUUGUAUUGUGGGUUAAAAAAGCAUGAAUGGCAUGGCGUGUUAGUAAGAACUCUGGAUGAAAUGGCCAAAAAAUUUGCAUUCAUGUCCCAACUCUGCUACUUGCCAACUGCAUGACUGUGGAUAGUACACAUGCUCUCCCACUUAACCAUAGAAUGAAGGAAUUGGAUGAAAAUUCUCUUUUGCUCCACGGUUCACUUCAGCUUCACAUUUAUGCUUGCUCGGAGAUAAUUAAUAAAACCUUCCAGCUUUUUGAAUUGUGAAAGUGCAUACUCUCCUGCCAGUGGAAAUUUCUGAUUGUUACACAGUCUCACCCCAGAGAUGGACUUGCUUUACCUUCACGAGAUCCAUAUUUCUGUGGGUCAUUGAGUACAGAAGAACUGGCCUGGAUCUAUCCAUUACUCUAAGCAGUGAAGCCUGGUGAGCAGAGGAGACUGAAGAUGGAGAGAGAGCCUGGACCUCAACAUGAGCAUUUGGAGCCAUUUGGCAGCAUUAGGCUGUGACCGCUUGGAGAACCGAAAGAUGGAGUCUUGCUCUAUUGCCCAGGCUGGAGUGCGGUGGCAGGAUC